rnacentral:rRNA from 1 species
UACGAAGGGAGCUAGCGUUGUUCGGAAUCACUGGGCGUAAAGCGCACGUAGGCGGAUGUGUCAGUCAGGGGGUGAAAUCCCGGAGCUCAACUUCGGAACUGCCCUUGAUACAGCACGUCUUGAGUCCGGAAGAGGUGGGUGGAAUUCCUAGUGUAGAGGUGAAAUUCGUAGAUAUUAGGAAGAACACCGGUGGCGAAGGCGGCCCACUGGAUCGGUACUGACGCUGAGGUGCGAAAGCGUGGGGAGCAAACAGG